rnacentral:rRNA from 1 species
UACGGGGGGGGGCUAGCGUUGUUCGGAAUUACUGGGCGUAAAGGGCGCGUAGGCGGCCUACUAAGUCGGACGUGAAAUCCCUCGGCUCAACCGGGGAACUGCGUCCGAUACUGGUGGGCUCGAAUCCGGGAGAGGGAUGUGGAAUUCCAGGUGUAGCGGUGAAAUGCGUAGAUAUCUGGAGGAACACCGGUGGCGAAGGCGGCAUCCUGGACCGGUAUUGACGCUGAUGCGCGAAAAGCCAGGGGGAGCAA